CCUACGGGCGGCAGCAGUAGGGAAUAUUGCACAAUGGAGGAAACCCUGAUGCAGCGACGCCGCGUGCGUGAAGAAGUAUUUCGGUAUGUAAAGCUCUAUCAGCAGGGAAGAACAUGACCUUACCUGACUAAGAGCGCCCUGCUAACUACGUGCCAGCAGCCGCGGUAAUACGUAGGGGGCGAGCGUUCUCCGGAUUUACUGGGGGUAAAGGUAGCGUAGACGGCCAGGCAAGUCAGAAGUGAAAGCCCAGGGCUCAACUCUGGGACUGCUUUUGAAACUGCCGGGCUGGAGUGCAGGAGAGGUAAGCGGAAUUCCAAGUGUAGCGGUGAAAUGCGUAGAUAUUAGGAGGAACACCAGUGGCGAAGGCGGCUUACUGGACUGUAACUGACGUUGAGGCUCGAAAGCGUGGGGAGCAAACAGGAUUAGAUACCCGUGUAGUC
rnacentral:rRNA from 1 species